AUUGAACGCUGGCGGCAGGCCUAACACAUGCAAGUCGAGCGGAUGAAGGGAGCUUGCUCCUGUAUUCAGCGGCGGACGGGUGAGUAAUGCCUAGGAAUCUGCCUGGUAGUUGGGGAUAACGUCCGGAAACGGGCGCUAAUACCGCAUACGUCCUGAGGGAGAAAGUGGUGGAUCUUCGGACCUCACGCUAUCAGAUGAGCCUAGGUCGGAUUAGCUAGUUGGUGGGGUAAAGGCCUACCAAGGCGACGAUCCGUAACUGGUCUGAGAGGAUGAUCAGUCACACUGGAACUGAGACACGGUCCAGACUCCUACGGGAGGCAGCAGUGGGGAAUAUUGGACAAUGGGCGAAAGCCUGAUCCAGCCAUGCCGCGUGUGUGAAGAAGGUCUUCGGAUUGUAAAGCACUUUAAGUUGGGAGGAAGGGAAGUAAGUUAAUACCUGGAUGUUUUGACGUUACCAACAGAAUAAGCACCGGCUAACUUCGUG
rnacentral:rRNA from 1 species